rnacentral:rRNA from 1 species
UUAAAAAGCUCGUAGUUGGAUUUCUGGCGGGGACCCAAGUACCCCUGGUGGGUGUGCUCGGGCCCGGCCAUCCUUCUGUAAACUUUCGCGCGUCCUUCACCGGUCGGCAAAGGGAUCAGAUAAUUUACCUUGAGAAAAUUAGAGUGUUUCAGGCAGGCUUAGCCGGAAUACAUUAGCAUGGAAUAAUGGAAUAGGACUGAGGUCUCGUUGUUGGUUACGCGGACUACAGUAAUGACUAAUAGGGACAGUUGGGGGCAUUAGUAUUUAUUAGCUAGAGGUGGAAUUCUCUAAUUUGAUAAAGACUAACUUAUGCGAAAGCAUUUGCCAAGGAUGUUUUCAUUGAUCAAGAACGAAAGUUAGGGGAUCGAAGACGAUCAGAUACCGUCCUAGUCUUAACCAUAAACUAUGCCGACUAGAGAUCGGAGGGCGUUGCUUGUCUCGACUCCUUCAGCACCUUCUGACAAAUCAAAGUCUUUGGGUUCCGGGGGGAGUAUGGUCGCAAGGCUGAAACUUAAAGGAAUUGACGGAAAGGCACCACCAGGAGUGGAGCCUGCGGCU